AAAUGGGCGAAAGGGAAAGGAAAUAAUAAAAGUGAAAGGGCGGAGAAGAUUGGCCUUCGUGUUGGGUUUAUAUUGCGAGUUUGCCACUGAGUGUUCGGUGAUUUUUCGGGAGAAAAUCGAGAGUGAGUGGGAAAGAAAAGGCACGUUCAACCCACCUAAUAGACACGUGGAUAUCUGAAGAAAAUGAUAUCCAACUUCAAAUUAUUGGACUUCAAGUUUUCAAAUUAUUGAUCAAAAACAAAAUUUGGGCACGGAAAUAGGCCAGGAAACAUUGUGUGUGAUACAUUUAACACUGGCAUGUGAGGUUUGCUUGUUUUCUUAAAGAUAGAAAAGAGUUAUCAAUCAGAAGCUGUGGUGGUACAGGAUUUCCAUAUUGGUAUCAACUUUGGAGAUGAUUCAUUAUCCAAUGUGAAGUCCUUAAAAGUUUAGAAAUUUAAAAAUUGUGUCUUGUUGCCUCCCUUGGACUCUUUCCAUCUUUCAAGCUUGAUGGAAAAUUUAUUAUUGAUUCUGAGUUUCUUCCGAGUAACCCGGUAGGUCUUCUAGUGCUAUUUCAUUUGAAUACUUGGAAACCUUGAUGUUCACGGAUAUAGCGGAAAGGGAAUAUAAAAUAGUGCAAGGAACUUUUUCCUCAUCUUAAGAUCCAUCUAUAGUGAUUUGUCCCAAGCUGAAAGAGCACAUGCUAGAGCAACUUCCUUGUUUAAUGUGAUUAGGUUGUUGAUAGAUACAAAAUUCUGUCCACUGCUGGAGUUAUAAUUUGUAGCUCAAACAUCAUUGUAAGAAGACUAAAGGCAAAAAGAUUGAUGACACUGAAUGCAUCCAGAUAAUAGAUGAUGAUAUUGAUAAUAGCACGAGUUAAAGUCUGGAUGUGCCAAUUCUGAUGUUGCCUGGCUUUGCAUCAGGUAUCUACUUUGUUACAUAUAAUUAGUAGUUACUUAUUUCAAAUCCAGUAUUUUGUCCUUUGGACAAUUUCAAAUAUUGGGCUAACCACUCAUCCCUAUAAUACAAUCUUGUUUAUUGGAAAUGUUUCACACUUUUACUCUCUAGUUAGCAAACAAUA